GACGAACGCUGGCGGCGUGUUUAACACAUGCAAGUCGAACGGAAAGGCCCUGCUUUUGUGGGGUGCUCGAGUGGCGAACGGGUGAGUAACACGUGAGUAACCUGCCCUUGACUUUGGGAUAACUUCAGGAAACUGGGGCUAAUACCGGAUAGGAGCUCCUGCUGCAUGGUGGGGGUUGGAAAGUUUCGGCGGUUGGGGAUGGACUCGCGGCUUAUCAGCUUGUUGGUGGGGUAGUGGCUUACCAAGGCUUUGACGGGUAGCCGGCCUGAGAGGGUGACCGGCCACAUUGGGACUGAGAUACGGCCCAGACUCCUACGGGAGGCAGCAGUGGGGAAUAUUGCACAAUGGGCGGAAGCCUGAUGCAGCAACGCCGCGUGCGGGAUGACGGCCUUCGGGUUGUAAACCGCUUUCGCCUGUGACGAAGCGUGAGUGACGGUAAUGGGUAAAGAAGCACCGGCUAACUACGUGCCAGCAGCCGCGGUGAUACGUAGGGUGCGAGCGUUGUCCGGAUUUAUUGGGCGUAAAGGGCUCGUAGGUGGUUGAUCGCGUCGGAAGUGUAAUCUUGGGGCUUAACCCUGAGCGUGCUUUCGAUACGGGUUGACUUGAGGAAGGUAGGGGAGAAUGGAAUUCCUGGUGGAGCGGUGGAAUGCGCAGAUAUCAGGAGGAACACCAGUGGCGAAGGCGGUUCUCUGGGCCUUUCCUGACGCUGAGGAGCGAAAGCGUGGGGAGCGAACAGGCUUAGAUACCCUGGUAGUCCACGCUGUAAACGGUGGGUACUAGGUGUGGGGUCCAUUCCACGGGUUCCGUGCCGUAGCUAACGCUUUAAGUACCCCGCCUGGGGAGUACGGCCGCAAGGCUAAAACUCAAAGGAAUUGACGGGGCCCCGCACAAGCGGCGGAGCAUGCGGAUUAAUUCGAUGCAACGCGUAGAACCUUACCUGGGUUUGACAUGGAUCGGGAGCGCUCAGAGAUGGGUGUGCCUCUUUUGGGGUCGGUUCACAGGUGGUGCAUGGCUGUCGUCAGCUCGUGUCGUGAGAUGUUGGGUUAAGUCCCGCAACGAGCGCAACCCUUGUUCACUGUUGCCAGCACGUUAUGGUGGGGACUCAGUGGAGACCGCCGGGGUCAACUCGGAGGAAGGUGGGGAUGACGUCAAGUCAUCAUGCCCCUUAUGUCCAGGGCUUCACGCAUGCUACAAUGGCUGGUACAGAGAGUGGCGAGCCUGUGAGGGUGAGCGAAUCUCGGAAAGCCGGUCUCAGUUCGGAUUGGGGUCUGCAACUCGACCUCAUGAAGUCGGAGUCGCUAGUAAUCGCAGAUCAGCAACGCUGCGGUGAAUACGUUCCCGGGGCU
rnacentral:rRNA from 1 species